GAGGCUGUUCCAGAGAAGAAAAAGAAGGUUGCCACUGUGCCAGAAACCCGUAAGAAAAAGCGAAGGAAUUUCACAGAGUUGAAGGUGAAGCGCCUGAGGAAGAAGUUUGCCCUGAAGACACUUCGAAAGGCAAGGAGGAAGCUCAUCUACGAGAAGGCACAGCACUAUCACAAGGAGUACAGGCAGAUAGAUGUACUGGACUGAGAUUCGGAUGGCCAGGAUGGCAAGGAAUCUGGGAACUUCUAUGUGCCCAGAGAACCAAAACUGGCCUUUGUCAUCAGAAUCCGAGGUAUCAAUGGAGUAAGCUCAAAGGUCCGCAAGGUAUUGCAGCUUCUUUGUCUUUGACAGCUCUUCAAUGGCACCUUUGUUAAGCUCAAAAAGGCUUCAAUUAACAUGCUGGGGAUUGUGGAAUCGUAUAUUGCAUGAGGCAACCCUAACCUGAAGUCAAUAAACGAACUCAUCUACAAGCGAGGCUACGGCAAAAAUCAACAAGAAGCGGAUUGCCUUGAAAGAUAAUUCCUGAUAAUUCCUUGAUUGCGCUAUCUCCUGGUAAGUUUGGCAUCAUCUGCAUGGAGGAUCUAAUUCAUGCGAUCUAUACAAUUGGGAAAUGCUUCAAGAAAGCAAAUAACUUCCUGUGGCCCUUCAAAUUAUCUUCCCCACGAGGUGGAAUGAAGAAAAAGAUAACUCACUUUGUAGAAGACGGAGAUGCUGGCAACAGGGAAGACCAGAUAAACAGGCUUAUUAGACGGAUGAACUAA
rnacentral:lncRNA from 1 species